rnacentral:rRNA from 1 species
GACGAACGCUGGCGGCGUGCUUAACACAUGCAAGUCGAACGGAAAGGCCCAGCUUGCUGGGUGCUCGAGUGGCGAACGGGUGAGUAACACGUGGGUGAUCUGCCUCUAACUUCGGGAUAAGCUUGGGAAACUGGGUCUAAUACCGGAUAGGACAAUCGUUUAGUGUCGGUUGUGGAAAGUUUUUUCGGUUAGGGAUGAGCCCGCGGCCUAUCAGCUUGUUGGUGGGGUAAUGGCCUACCAAGGCGUCGACGGGUAGCCGGCCUGAGAGGGUGGACGGCCACAUUGGGACUGAGAUACGGCCCAGACUCCUACGGGAGGCAGCAGUGGGGAAUAUUGCACAAUGGGCGCAAGCCUGAUGCAGCGACGCCGCGUGGGGGAGGACGGCCUUCGGGUGGUAAACCUCUUUCGACAGGGACGAAGCUUUGGUGACGGUACCUGUAUAAGAAGCACCGGCUAACUACGU